rnacentral:rRNA from 1 species
UCAGGAUGAACGCUAGCUACAGGCUUAACACAUGCAAGUCGAGGGGCAGCAUGGUCUUAGCUUGCUAAGGCUGAUGGCGACCGGCGCACGGGUGAGUAACACGUAUCCAACCUGCCGUCUACUCUUGGACAGCCUUCUGAAAGGAAGAUUAAUACAAGAUGGCAUCAUGAGUCCGCAUGUUCACAUGAUUAAAGGUAUUCCGGUAGACGAUGGGGAUGCGUUCCAUUAGAUAGUAGGCGGGGUAACGGCCCACCUAGUCUUCGAUGGAUAGGGGUUCUGAGAGGAAGGUCCCCCACAUUGGAACUGAGACACGGUCCAAACUCCUACGGGAGGCAGCAGUGAGGAAUAUUGGUCAAUGGGCGAGAGCCUGAACCAGCCAAGUAGCGUGAAGGAUGACUGCCCUAUGGGUUGUAAACUUCUUUUAUAAAGGAAUAAAGUCGGGUAUGCAUACCCGUUUGCAUGUACUUUAUGAAUAAGGAUCGGCUAACUCCGUGCCAGCAGCCGCGGUA